AGAGUUUGAUCCUGGCUCAGGACGAACGCUGGCGGCGCGCCUAACACAUGCAAGUCGAACGAGCGAGAGAGAGCUUGCUUUCUCGAGCGAGUGGCGAACGGGUGAGUAACGCGUGAGGAACCUGCCUCAAAGAGGGGGACAACAGUUGGAAACGACUGCUAAUACCGCAUAAGCCCACGGCUCGGCAUCGAGCAGAGGGAAAAGGAGCAAUCCGCUUUGAGAUGGCCUCGCGUCCGAUUAGCUAGUUGGUGAGGUAACGGCCCACCAAGGCGACGAUCGGUAGCCGGACUGAGAGGUUGAACGGCCACAUUGGGACUGAGACACGGCCCAGACUCCUACGGGAGGCAGCAGUGGGGAAUAUUGCACAAUGGGGGAAACCCUGAUGCAGCGACGCCGCGUGGAGGAAGAAGGUCUUCGGAUUGUAAACUCCUGUUGUUGAGGAAGAUAAUGACGGUACUCAACAAGGAAGUGACGGCUAACUACGUGCCAGCAGCCGCGGUAAAACGUAGGUCACAAGCGUUGUCCGGAAUUACUGGGUGUAAAGGGAGCGCAGGCGGGAAGACAAGUUGGAAGUGAAAUCCAUGGGCUCAACCCAUGAACUGCUUUCAAAACUGUUUUUCUUGAGUAGUGCAGAGGUAGGCGGAAUUCCCGGUGUAGCGGUGGAAUGCGUAGAUAUCGGGAGGAACACCAGUGGCGAAGGCGGCCUACUGGGCACCAACUGACGCUGAGGCUCGAAAGUGUGGGUAGCAAACAGGAUUAGAUACCCUGGUAGUCCACACUGUAAACGAUGAUUACUAGGUGUUGGAGGAUUGACCCCUUCAGUGCCGCAGUUAACACAAUAAGUAAUCCACCUGGGGAGUACGACCGCAAGGUUGAAACUCAAAGGAAUUGACGGGGGCCCGCACAAGCAGUGGAGUAUGUGGUUUAAUUCGACGCAACGCGAAGAACCUUACCAAGUCUUGACAUCCUGCGACGGUGCUGGAAACAGUACUUUCCUUCGGGACGCAGAGACAGGUGGUGCAUGGUUGUCGUCAGCUCGUGUCGUGAGAUGUUGGGUUAAGUCCCGCAACGAGCGCAACCCUUAUGGUCAGUUACUACGUAAGAGGACUCUGGCCAGACUGCCGUUGACAAAACGGAGGAAGGUGGGGAUGACGUCAAAUCAUCAUGCCCUUUAUGACUUGGGCUACACACGUACUACAAUGGCGUUAAACAAAGAGAAGCAAGACCGCGAGGUGGAGCAAAACUCAGAAACAACGUCCCAGUUCGGACUGCAGGCUGCAACUCGCCUGCACGAAGUCGGAAUUGCUAGUAAUCGCAGAUCAGCAUGCUGCGGUGAAUACGUUCCCGGGCCUUGUACACACCGCCCGUCA
rnacentral:rRNA from 1 species